rnacentral:snRNA from 1 species
GUAUCCUCUAGUGCAUAUACUAAAAUUGGAACGAUAAGAUUAGCAUGGCCUCUGCGCAAGGAUGACACGCAAAUUCUUAAAGCGUUCCUCAUUUUU